AUUGAACGCUGGCGGCAUGCCUUACACAUGCAAGUCGAACGGUAACAGGUUAAGCUGACGAGUGGCGAACGGGUGAGUAAUGUAUCGGAACGUGCCCAGUCGUGGGGGAUAACUACUCGAAAGAGUGGCUAAUACCGCAUACGACCUGAGGGUGAAAGCGGGGGACCGUAAGGCCUCGCGCGAUUGGAGCGGCCGAUAUCAGAUUAGCUAGUUGGUGGGGUAAAAGCCCACCAAGGCGACGAUCUGUAGCUGGUCUGAGAGGACGACCAGCCACACUGGGACUGAGACACGGCCCAGACUCCUACGGGAGGCAGCAGUGGGGAAUGUUGGACAAUGGACGCGAGUCUGAUCCAGCCAUGCCGCGUGCGGGAAGAAGGCCUUCGGGUUGUAAACCGCUUUUGUCAGGGAAGAAACGAGUUUCUCUAAUACAGAGACUUAAUGACGGUACCUGAAGAAUAAGCACCGGCUAACUACGUGCCAGCCGCCGCCGUAAGAC
rnacentral:rRNA from 1 species